rnacentral:rRNA from 1 species
UACAUAGGUCUCAAGCGUUGUUCGGAUUCAUUGGGCGUAAAGGGUGCGUAGGCGGCGCGGUAAGUCGGGUGUGAAAUCUCGGGGCUUAACUCCGAAACUGCAUUCGAUACUGCCGUGCUUGAGGACUGGAGAGGAGACUGGAAUUUACGGUGUAGCGGUGAAAUGCGUAGAUAUCGUAAGGAAGACCAGUGGCGAAGGCGGGUCUCUGGACAGUUCCUGACGCUGAGGCACGAAGGCCAGGGGAGCAAACGGG